UAAGGCGGCCAUAGCGGUGAGGCAACACCCGUACCCGUUCCGAACACGGAAGUUAAGCUCACCUGCGUUGCGAGCAGUACUGGAGUGCGCGAGCCUCUGGGAGACUCGCUUCGCCGCCUCCC
rnacentral:rRNA from 1 species